rnacentral:rRNA from 1 species
AUGGGUGCGCGGUGGAUCCCGACCCUUGCCGGCGGGAGGGCUCUGUUUUUAGGUGCUUCUUCAAGUUUUGUUAGGGUUUAUGUCCUGCUCAAGAAGACGAGACGACGGCGAUUUCUUGAAGAUGGAAUAAGGUUCUCCCCGCCUAGCCCCCGUCCCAAUGGUGUGUCUAGCAUCGUCGGAGGGCAUGUGGAGGUUGGAUCCUUCCGAUCUAAAAUUAUCUUCAUCGGCGGCGGUUGCGGUUCUGAGGCGUUGGUCCUAUGGGAUCUUAGCAUGACGACUUCCCGACUGUCUACUACAACAAGUUCUGUCCGGCUUCGGCUAGGGAGGGGCGAUGACAACAGCGCGCCUUCGGUUCGCUUCAGUGCUUGUAGUCGUCGCUAG